rnacentral:lncRNA from 1 species
UUUCAUUUAUGCAUCAAAUGACUCAAAUAUGGUACAAAUAGAGGCAAUCUAUCAAUGCCUCAAAGUAUCAUGAAUAAUCUAAUGAUCAAUCAUUAAUAGGUUUGAAACAUUGAAGAUUUAAUCAACCCUAAACAACUAUGGCCAUGAUCUAAUAGACCUCAUUAACCAAACAAAUGUAACAACAAGUCAAUAAAAGUAAAUGAUAACAAACACAAUGCAACC